CUCAGUAUUAUUUAUAAAUCUAAAUAGUGUUAAGUGUUUUGACUUUUGAGUUCAUAAUGGGCUAUUACAUUAAAAAACCAAACCCCCCCUGUCGAGGACCUCUGCUUUUGGGGACUUUUACCCCUCUGGAAUGCAAGAAAAUCUGUGUAAUUGACCCCUUUUACCCCUCUGGAAGUGCAUUUUUGCUUUUUAACCCCUCUGGAAAGAGCAUUUUUCUUCCAUUUUUCCCAAUUACCCCUCUGGAAAAAAUGACUAAUUUCCCCCUUGGAAAAUGAGGUCCUCGACAGGGGGGGUACGGAUAUUAAAUGUAAUAGCCCAAUACUGGUAAACCAUGGCAGUAUUUUAGAAAAAGGUAGUGCAACACUGGAACCUCUAUAAUUAUUAUUUAGGUAUUGUCAGGAUGGAAUUUGAAUCUGUUGGAGCAAGUCUAUCACAGAGAUUUUAUGAACCAUGCAUGCAAUUUUAUUUGUACAUAAUCAUAUAUUUGCCCAUUAUAUUUAUAAACUGACAGUUAAUAAUUAAUCUUUCACAGACCAAUAAAAUCAUCUGGGGCCGGUAGUUCAAAGGCUUACAUGGGC